AACGAACGCUGGCGGCGUGGAUAAGACAUGCAAGUCGAACGGGACAGACCGAGUAGCAAUAUUUGGAAUGUUCAGUGGCGAACGGGUGCGUAACACGUGGAUAACAUUCCGGAAAGCGGGGAAUAGCCCAGGGAAACUUGGAUUAAUACCGCAUGUGGCCGCAAGGCUAAAGACGGGGACCGCAAGGCUUGUCACUUUCCGAUUGGUCCGCGGCCUAUCAGCUAGUUGGCGGGGUAAUGGCCCACCAAGGCUACGACGGGUAGCUGGUCUUAGAGGACGACCAGCCACACUGGAACUGAGACACGGUCCAGACACCUACGGGUGGCAGCAGUCGAGAAUCUUUCACAAUGGGGGCAACCCUGAUGGAGCGACGCCGCGUGGAGGAUAAGGUCCUCGGAUUGUAAACUCCUGUCAUGCGAGAACAAGGUACUCAGGCUAAUAACCUGAUUGUUUGAUGGUACCGCAAGAGGAAGAGACGGCUAACUCUGUGCCAGCCGCCGCCGUAAUAC
rnacentral:rRNA from 1 species